rnacentral:rRNA from 1 species
UACGGAGGGUGCAAGCGUUAUCCGGAUUCACUGGGUUUAAAGGGUGCGUAGGUGGGCAAGUAAGUCAGUGGUGAAAUCUCCGGGCUUAACUCGGAAACUGCCAUUGAUACUAUUUGUCUUGAAUACUGUGGAGGUCAGCGGAAUAUGUCAUGUAGCGGUGAAAUGCUUAGAUAUGACAUAGAACACCAAUUGCGAAGGCAGCUGGCUACACAAAUAUUGACACUGAGGCACGAAAGCGUGGGGAUCAAACAGG